CCUGUGCUGUCCUGCCUCAGAUGCAGA
rnacentral:piRNA from 1 species